GACGAACGCUGGCGGCGUGCUUAACACAUGCAAGUCGAACGAAGUGGCGAACGGGUGAGUAAUACGUGGGUAACCUGCCCUCCUUUUUGGGAUAAGCCUUGGAAACGGGGUCUAUUACCUAAUAAAGGGGGAUGUGCUCGCGGCCUAUCAGUUUGUUGGUGGGGUGAUGGCCUACCAAGGCGGUGACGGGUAGACGGCCUGAGAGGCGGACCGGGAACAUUGGGACGGAGAAACGGCCCAGAGUCCUACGGGAGGAAGCAGUGGGGGAUAUGGCACAAUGGGCGAAAGACAGAUGCAGCGAGGCAGAGUGGGGGAUGAAGGUUUUAGGGUGGUAAACCGCGUGAGCUAUGGAACGGGUAGGUGGAGAAGAAGCGCCGGCUAACUACGUGCCAGCAGCCGCGGUAAUAC
rnacentral:rRNA from 1 species